rnacentral:tRNA from 1 species
AGCAGUAUGGCUCAGUGGAAAGAGCACGGGCUUGGGAGUCAGAGGUCAUGGGUUCGAAUCCCGGCUCUGCCA